rnacentral:misc_RNA from 1 species
GUGGAUCCAUUUUCAUCUUCUCCAAAAUUUCCCUCCGGCAAACAGUUCUCUAAUGGCGGCAGAUAAAUUCUCCCGGAAUCUAUAAAUUUACUGCAAAUCAAAAAAAAGUUUCAGAAAUAGAGAAUACACAGUGAGACUAUUAGUAUGGCCGACGAUGAAGCAGAGAUGUACGACGGAGCUAGGGCACAGUUCCCGUUGUCGUUUGGUAAGCAAGCUAAAUCUCAAAAAUCUCUCGAACUUGUUCACAACGCUACUCGCCGGAACAACACCUCCUCCGUUACUCAAACUGCCGACGGUAAACUCGAGCCAUCACCUUUCCCUUCUUUAUCAUCUUCCUCCAAAUCCUGGCUUAAUUCCCUCAAAAACCCUAAAUCUAGUCAUGAAUCCAAUUCUAAGUCGAAGAUUAUCGGGCCGAGUCGUCCUA